rnacentral:rRNA from 1 species
GACGAACGCUGGCGGCGUGCUUAACACAUGCAAGUCGAACGGAAAGGCCCUGCUUUUGUGGGGCGCUCGAGUGGCGAACGGGUGAGUAACACGUGAGUAACCUGCCCUUGACUUUGGGAUAACUUCAGGAAACUGGGGCUAAUACCGGAUAGGAGCUCCUGCUGCAUGGUGAGGGUUGGAAAGUUUCGGCGGUUGGGGAUGGACUCGCGGCUUAUCAGCUUGUUGGUGGGGUAGUGGCUUACCAAGGCUUUGACGGGUAGCCGGCCUGAGAGGGUGACCGGCCACAUUGGGACUGAGAUACGGCCCAGACUCCUACGGGAGGCAGCAGUGGGGAAUAUUGCACAAUGGGCGGAAGCCUGAUGCAGCAACGCCGCGUGCGGGAUGACGGCCUUCGGGUUGUAAACCGCUUUCGCCUGUGACGAAGCGUGAGUGACGGUAAUGGGUAAAGAAGCACCGGCUAACUACGUG